rnacentral:lncRNA from 1 species
ACUCUGUGCCAAGCUGAAACCCUUCAAGAAGAAAGCUUUCAUCUUGUUCCUGAAGUUGGAGACUUGGAGCUGUGAAGAAAGGUGGAACCUUUUGUGUUGUGGUGUCAAGGAGGAGGUUAUGAACACAAGGAGAAGGUGUUGGGUGACGAUCCAGCUCUCUUAUCCACUAGAUUCGUGGCCUGUUACCAAGGAGGCUCAAGGAACCAGCUCAGAUUCCUUGGUUGUAAGCUAAUCCUAAACCUUCUUGACA